GGAUAUUUAGGAGGACUCCUAUAAGGUAUCAUCUGAGGUCGACCCAAAGUCACUUUGCGGUGAUUUUUGCCAAGUUAUUAUAGGUCUCCACCUGGCUCAUCCGUAGACGAAGAGCGUCAAAUGGUUGCAUGGGGUCCCCAGUGGUUAGCCCCUUUGUAGUCAUUAUCAUCAGCCUUUGCUUGGAUUGUCUAUGAAUGAUGAGUGCCAAAUAGCCGC
rnacentral:lncRNA from 1 species